AUUGAGCAAAUUAUUUCAAGAGCAGAUGACUGAUCGUUGAGUUUACUCACUAUCUAAUGCGGUAAUAUCCUAGAAGGAAUAAUAUUGAUACUUUGAUUGUUAUAGUGGAAAAACUCCAACAAACUCCAAGCUCCAGUGAGCAUGAAUGACUCUAUGAACUAUUUGGAUUUUUUACACACUUAGAAGAGUACACUGUUGAACUAGUGGAGUUUUAUUUCAGAGCAAAGAAGUGCUUCAGGGAAUUUGUAUUCGAAUAGAGCAACAAAAUGUAUUCCACACGUGUUUUUAUCGCUCUAGCCAGUCUCAUCUUGUACUUAUAUUCAACGGAAGGUAACGAAGACUGUGAUUUAGCUUGUCCGAAGAUCUAUACGCCAGUUUGUACUACAAACGGGAAGGCAAUCCAUACAUUUGCUAAUGAAUGCUUGAUGAACGCUGAAAAUUGUGUGAAAGGAGAAUGUUGGACAAUAUUGUUCGAAGGUGACUGCUGUGCUGGAAAGACGCCAUACAAUCCUCCAACACAAUAUUAUCCCACUUACCGCUGGUUCAAGAAAUGAAAAUUAGAGAUAAAUUACUGAAAAAUGGAGAGUUGUAUCUCAUCAUCCAAACCAGUGCGAAUAAAAUCGAAUCAGUUUCACCCGUUCUCACCAUUCAUAUCAUGUCUCCAUUAAACUCCUUCCUGUUCUUUUGUCUGACAAAGAAGUGAAUGUUUGAAGAAGAAAAUUUCAUGAAUAAAAAUUCGAGAAUAGUGGUAGUAGUGUUUUCUCCCUGAUUCGAUUUGAAUUACUUUGUAAGUUAUCUCUUAUUAAUAUUGAUAACCAUGGUGAACUGUCGGUGACAACUAACUAAGGUGAAAUACUGUAUAUUGAUUUAGUGAAUAGUCUGAACCUCUAAACUAAUGAGGACCUAUCAAAUUAUGUUAUAUUCUCUGCUAUAAUUAUUUUGUCUUUUUGAAAUUAGUUCUCAUCGAUGAUGUGACUUCAACUAUAUUUUGUGAAAUAUAAUUAGCAAAAUCAAUUACUGAGUUCCCAAAUACGAGUGAUGGAAAAUUUCUUGCUAUUUACUUAAUUGGAUUACCUCAUGUCCUAUGAUUGGAUUUCUUGGAAAUACUAGAACAAAUCUGAAAAGAUAAGUUGUUUCUAAAAUACAGUGAUAGCAUUCAUCGAGAAAAUUUAGUAUUUAAGGAGCUAGGUUGAAUGUGAUUCUUUAUUUCGACACAUAAAUGAAAAUUCGAGAUUAUAGUUUUGUGCAGAUCAUCUAGAAGUUCCAAAUAACGCUUUCGUAGAAAAGAAAAGGAAAUUUCUUAAUCGCUCAUUUUCCUUCAUUUCAAGGUAUUUGUAGGAAUGCUUACCAUUCGUUUGAUUGCUGUACUCACUUGCUUACUAGCAAGUUUUUACACAGUGGUAAGUCAACGGGAUUGGGAACGUGAUACUUGUGAUUUCGGAUGCACAGACUCACCUCAACCGAUUUGUGCCACAAAUGGUUUCGACAUCAGAACAUUUCGCAAUCACUGCAUCAUGACAACCGUGAAUUGCCAGACAAAUCAACGUUGGCGAAAAAUACGUGAUAGACCAUGUUGUCCCCCUGGGAAUCCAGCAUCAUACCUUGACGAUGAUUUUGAAUAUAAUUAUUGAUAGAAACAUAUUAUAGAAUGCUGAAAAUAGAGAAAAUUUAUGCUGGAUUUUACAAUAUUCGAAAGUGAAUGAAUCAAUCACAUAAAUUGUAUAUUGUAUUUUAUUGAAUUGAAACACAAUGCACAUUAAUUAUAUUAUAUCGAAUGAAACAUUUGAUUAGAAUGAAUAGCUCACUCUGAUUAUCUUACAGAUCCAUGAUCACUCUUGAUGAUACAGAAAAGCUUUGGAUCAAAUUGAUUUGUUUUUAUUUUAUACUGGAAUAUCAUAGAACAGCUGGAUCGUCAGGACCGUCAUCUUUUGGUUCAUUCUUCCAACCUUUAAAAAAACAGAUGAAUGCUGAUCAAAAUUAUAAAUAAUUACAAGAUCAUUGAUCGAAAAAGAAUGAAGAGCAGUACCUAAUUAUUGAUAUUCACUAUUCACCAGAGUGAGAUUCAGCAUUCAGCAUACUUUUUAGAUAAGAUCAGUGCUUCCCAUUCAACCAAUGUGAGACGGCUCCAGGGCAGUUUCUCGGAGGGGCCAUUUAUGAAAAAUAAAUAAAUAGUAUUCCUAUUAAAACCUCCACCCACUAACUUCAUAACGUUUUUAUCAUUGAAAAUUAACUAUCGCAUAAUUCAGCUUCAAACUCUCAAAUUUAUAUGAAUGAAGAUGAAUGAGAUACAACUGAGCUUCUGUGUAUGUCAGAGAAGCUUUCUUUUCUCAAUGGACUUUUUUAUAAAAUUCAUCUCAAAUUGAGAAUAUCAUCUUUCCCGAACUUGAAUUUCAUGCAGUCUUGGAAAUGCCAUCAUGAAUGAGUGAAAUGAAUCCAUUAAAUCCAUUAAUCCAUUAGUUUCUGGAUGAGUAGAUCAUUGAUUUUGUCUCUACUUAUUAAAGUAUACUGAUUGAAAUGUUAGCAAUAAUGUUGCAAAUAUUGACCUGGAAUACGUGAUCAAUAAUAAGAACAAGGUGUUCAAAAAAAACCUUUCAAGUGUGGAAUGAAGUCAAAAAUAAAGAAGGCGUGCGGACUUUGUAAAUUUGCA